CGUGAACAGCAUUUGGACGUGGGUGAGUCGGUCCUAAGGGAUGGGCGAAAGCCUGUGAGUUAAGCGCGCAUUCGUGGCACGUGCUCGCGUUUUGCCCGCGGUGCUGCGUGCUCUUGUGCCUUCGGGUGCGGGAGUGCGUGGCGCUGAGGGUGGCGUGGGUGCGUCUGCGGCUUGAGAGAGUGGCGUGAUCUCCCGAAAGGGAAUCGGGUUAAUAUUCCCGAACCGGACACUUGGAUGCUGCCGGCGCUGUCGGUUGGGCUUCGGUCCGGCUGCUACAGCAAGGGUAGGCCACGGCGACGUAUACGACCUCGGAGACGCCUGCGAUAGACCUGGGAAGAGUUGUCUUUUCUUCUUGACCGUACCUACCGUGUACUUGGCCCUGGAAGCAGUUUACCUUGAGAUAGGGCUGGAGGUCGGGCAAAGCGUCGUACUUGUUGCGGCGUCCGGUGCUCUGUCGUGGGUCCUUGAAAAUCUGAGGAAGCGUGUUUGUGAUCUCGUGUUCGGCCGUACCCAUCACCGCAUCAGGUCUCCAAG
rnacentral:rRNA from 1 species